rnacentral:rRNA from 1 species
UGACCCCAUGCCGAACUCAGAAGUGAAACGCCGUAGCGCCGAUGGUAGUGUGGGGUCUCCCCAUGUGAGAGUAGGGAACCGCCAGGU